rnacentral:rRNA from 1 species
GAUGAACGCUGGCGGCGUGCCUAAUACAUGCAAGUCGAGCGAACGGACGAGAAGCUUGCUUCUCUGAUGUUAGCGGCGGACGGGUGAGUAACACGUGGAUAACCUACCUAUAAGACUGGGAUAACUUCGGGAAACCGGAGCUAAUACCGGAUAAUAUUUUGAACCGCAUGGUUCAAAAGUGAAAGACGGUCUUGCUGUCACUUAUAGAUGGAUCCGCGCUGCAUUAGCUAGUUGGUAAGGUAACGGCUUACCAAGGCAACGAUGCAUAGCCGACCUGAGAGGGUGAUCGGCCACACUGGAACUGAGACACGGUCCAGACUCCUACGGGAGGCAGCAGUAGGGAAUCUGCCGCAAUGGGCGAAAGCCUGACGGAGCAACGCCGCGUGAGUGAUGAAGGUCUUCGGAUCGUAAAACUCUGUUAUUAGGUAAGAACAUAUGUGUAAGUAACUGUGCACAUCUUGACGGUACCUAAUCAGAAAGCCACGGCUAACUACGUG